UACGUAGGGGGCUAGCGUUGUCCGGAAUCAUUGGGCGUAAAGAGCGUGUAGGCUGCUCGGUAAGUCCGCUGUAAAAGUCAAAGGCUCAACCUUUGAAUGUCAGUGGAUACUGCCGGGCUAGAGUCCGGAAGAGGCGAGUGGAACUCCUGGUGUAGCGGUGAAAUGCGUAGAUAUCAGAAGGAACAUCAGUGGCGAAAGCGGCUUCCUGGUCCAGUACCGACGUUCAGGCACGAAAGCGUGGGGAGCAAACAGG
rnacentral:rRNA from 1 species